rnacentral:rRNA from 1 species
AUUGAACGCUGGCGGCAGGCCUAACACAUGCAAGUCGAACGAGUGGCGGACGGGUGAGUACUGUCUGGGAAACUGCCUGAUGGCGGGGGUUAACUACUGGAAACGGUAUCUAAUACCGCAUACCAUCGGAUGUUCCCAGUUGGGAUUAGCUAGUAGGUGGGGUAACGGCUCACCUAGGCCACGAUCCCUAGCUGGUCUGAGAGGAUGACCAGCCACACUGGAACUGAGACACGGGCCAGAAUCCUACGGGAGGCACCAGUGGGGAAGAUGGCACAAGGGGCGAAAGCCGGAUGCAGCCAUGCCGCGAGUAUGAAGAAGGCCUUCGGGUUGUAAAGUACUUUCAGCGGGGGGGCGUUACCCGCAGAAGAAGCACCGGCUAACUCCGUGCCAGCCGCCGCGGUAAUAC